GUGUCUGAGCCACCGCGAUACGUUGACCUCCAUCGAAACUGUAGCUCUAUCGUCUCCCUCCACGGGCUGGAAUUCCGCCGCUAAUCGAUGAAAGGAAGGAGGAAGGUAUGCUGCACAUAAUAUAAUGCGAGCACGAGGAGAGCUCGGGGAAAAGAGAGAAAGAGAGAGAGAGAAGGAGACAGAAUCGACGGGUGAGGAGAAGCAUACACAGAGGGAAGGAGGAGGGAGGCGGAAGGGGAUCAGAGAGUACAAGUGCGUGACGUAAUGGUUCAUUCAUCCCGAGACAGACGAUAUCCCGGUCAAUGGAGUACAUAUACAUACACGGGCACGCAUUUAUUCGAUACACACACGCGUGUGUACACCUACGUACAGGCGUAUGUGUGUCGCGUGAAGUGCACACGUGCACGUGAUGUUCGUCUCUUGCUUUGGUUUGCUCGUUCCUCGUCUCGGCCAGUUACUACGUAUCGAUGCUCCCUUUGGUCCACGGAUAAAUCUGUCCUCGCCAUUCCCCCUCCAACGGUCACAAUUUUCGUUAUCGCACAAGUUUAUGUCUUGCGUAAUUCGUAUUUCUUAUCGAUAACAGGUAGACUAUUUUAGAAAAGGCGUUUGAACCGCGAGCGACGUAGAGACGUUGCAUAAUGGAAUGGAAAUAAUUGGACUUAUCGGUUCAACGAGCUUUAACUGCAAGUAAUUAUAGGCUGCUUUGAUCUUUGAUAUCGGGAAUCUGCAAAUUAUGAGUAUUAUCUUUGUGUAUUUCUGAAGGCUACACUAUUUUUAAACACUCGUGAAAGCUAGGAGCUAUUUCGAAGAUAUGAUUAGCAGAUUUCACAGGAAAAAUUACUGCCAGGCUGUUCAAGUAUCACGUUAAAUGUUUUUGUUAAAAAAUUCAUGUUACGAACGUAGCUGAAAAGUAAAUUAGAUAGAAUUAUUGAUCGUUGGCUACAGCUGUGCAGGUGGUGGCACGAAGAAGAGUCCGUUUAUAAUUUACCUCGCCUAUCUACCCCAAAUAUCGAUCCUGACAAAGGGUCACCGAACGAACCGAUGAAAAGAGAAACACAGACAACCUUGCUAACAAUCACCGAUGUCACCGCGCCAAUCACCCCUGCACAUCAAACAAUAGUAUAAUGAACUUCGAUGAAACGAGCGAUUGACUUCAAUAAACUGAAUCAAAACAAGAGCGCAGUGCUGGCAAACGGAAUAGGACUUAGGAUGUAACGGAAGACAGUUGAUAAUUCAUGGCGUUAUCGAUUCUCGCUACACAUCGUCAAGUCUGUAGAGUGGAUAUCGAUCUGUGCUAGAGAAGCGACGUGCCCCGUUUGCUAGCCCUUUAUAAUUCAUCACCAUUCCACUUCCUGGUCUUUGUACUUCUCGGACAGACUCGACGCCUUGUCGCAUAUCAAGUUUUUUUGCUGGAGUUCUCUCUCAAAAUAUAUUAUUUUUGAAAUGCUCACAUUAAUAUAGUUUUUGGUCUUACGGAAUUAAUUGCACGUCCGAGAACAUAGAGACAGUUGGAUAUUAGUUCGGGGACGCAGUUCCCCUAAGCCUCGUAAACCCUGCAAUUGUCAGCGACUGAUCGAUAUCGAGGUAAACACAGCACGUGAUUUUACCGAUAAAAUGGACCGGUUCCAACUAUUCCGAGUUUGUAACUUUGCUUCUCAUUACGACACAAACAUCAAAGAAAAAACGUAAUAACCGGUACUGCGGAUAAAAAAGGAUUGCCAAGAUAAUCGCCACAAUUAAUCCAUCAAGUAUAAUCAAAAGUCUGAAGAUUACUUUGUGCAACCUAUCUCGCUAAUUCAUUCUUCUUUCAUUUGCAGAUUCCAUUUAAUACAACGUCAGACAAAGGGUUAACCGGUAUACCGAGGCAAAAAAAGGGGAAAAUAUGGCAUCGACAAUAAUCCUCUUCGAACCACGAGAAUAGAAGAAGUAUUUUCCUCGUCCAGGAAACGUAUAUUCUGGCCGUAAUAUUCCUUGGUAAGGCCAGGUCAGAGAAGACGGGCCAGGGAGGCAGGGAGGAUGCUACGAGGGAAAAAUAAUCUCCCAGCGGGAUUUUCGACCCUCGCCGCGUUUCGCAUUAGGGAGAGGAAGAGACCCGGUGAUCGUUAGCGCAGAGGGAACUUUGAAAAACGUGUCUCGCAGAGAGACAGAGACGGAGAGGCAGCUGGCGUGCCAGGCGAGCGGGCAGAGAGCAUUGAAAGGGGGCGACAAAGGGGGAGCCCUAACCCUCGGGGAGCACAGCGGGAAAGCGAGUCCUGCAACGCUUUCCUCUUGCCUCAAUGGAAUACGUUAGGGACUGAAAAAUUCACCCGGCGAAAUCUCUUUCAGUUUACGUCAAGAUUUCAAGGAUCUUUAACGAAUGUUAUUGUUAGCUUCUUUGGUACAUUAACGCAGAUUGACACUUUUGGAAUAUUAAAGCUUGAGCUUGUUAAUAGACAGUGACUUACAACAAACUGAGUGUGAGUACACUAGCAUACAAUGUGACAUUGUAUGUGAAAUAUGUUACACAAGAAUGUUACAAAAUGAAAGCUUCAUCUUUGUAUAAAAUAAUUGUCGGUUACAACAAGUAAACUAAAAUGUGAUCAGUUAGAACUAUAGUGAUCUUAGAUUAUCAUAGUGUACACACUAGAAAGAAUCAUACACUAGCACACAAUGUGACAUUGUACAUGAAAUAUGUGACACAAGAAUGUUACAGAAUGACAGCUUCAUCUUUGUAUAAAAUAAUAGUCAGUUACAAUGUGUCAGUUACAUCAGUUAGAUCCAUAGUGAUCUUAGAUUAUAAUAGUGGUAGGAGUACACUUUAUUUGAUCAAAAGAUAUGAACUAAUAUUAGAACACAAGUAGAAUGAACUGAAAUGAAACUACUGAUAAAUGCAUCAAUCUUCUAUUGCAGAUGAACAAGGUUCAUUCAGGACUCUCAAGAUAGAGAAGACUGUAAAAGUUGCUAUACCUAGCAGAAAGCUUGAAGGUCCUCAACAGCUAAUGGGUGUUAAAUCUUUGUAACACUUCAGACUAUAUUAGCCAAUUCCAAAAAGCUGCUAUACCUAACAGGAAGUUUGAAGGUCCUCAACACCUAAUGGAUGUUAACUCUUUGCAACACUUCAAACUAUAUUAGCCAAUUCCAAACAGUUGCUAUAUCUAACAGGAAGCUUGAAGGUCCUCAACACCUAAUGGAUGUUAACUCUUUGCAAAACACUUCAAACUAUAUUAGCCAAUUCCAAACAGUUGCUAUAUCUAACAGGAAGCUUGAUGGUCCUCAACACCUAAUGGAUGUUAAAUCUUUGCAACACUGCAAACUAUAUUAGCCAAUUCCAAAAAGUUGCUAUACCUAGCAGAAAGCUUGAAGGUCUUCAACACCUAAUGGGUGUUAAAUCCUUGUACUUCAGACUAUAUUAGCCAAUGAUCAAAGCAAUCCUAACAAGCUCAACAACAACAAGACAACCAGCACUAAACAGAAGAUCAGCCAGCACUAAGAAGACCCAGAAUAAAAUUGAACAAAGUGCUACAAAAAACCUGCUUGAGGAAGGAGUUCAUCGAACCAGCCACAGAAGCAGUGUUUGGGUAAACCAGAUCCUCUGUCUGAAAGUACAUACUUUCUCCUUCCGGGACCCAGUUCCCAAGUCUAUCAAAAGUACCAGCGUAAGAUAGAAGAAGGAAGAGAGAGAGAGAGAGAAGGGCCAGAGAGGAGAGAAUGCGUUGCAAGGGGUAGGGGAAAUUGAAAGUAGGAUGGAAGAAAGUUGGAGCGGGUGUCAUAGGGUGGAGGGUGUCCCUCAAAUCGCCCCCGCCAUUGGUAAACGUCGUGGUAGCACGUGCUUGCUACGUCACCGCGUGUUUACAGAGAGAUACCUAUAGCCGGUACUCGUGACCUUGUGUUUUGUAUAUAUCAUCCUCCCUCCUGAUGCCCGUGGGAUGUCCCUCCCGUGGCCCCGCGGACCCGGGAAUACCCCUAUCCGGUAUCGUCUCUCCUCUCCCUUGCCUCUUGCACCCAGAGAGUGCUCCUCGAACUCCCCAUGAGGCAACCAGUUGUUCCGUCUGUGACGUAACAGGGUAUCACACGACCUGUCGGUGCUUUGUUGCAUCCUGUUCUACUCUCCAUCCGCCUUCUCUCUUCGGCAUAGACAACCUUCUUUCCGUCUCGCUCUCUUCGUCACCUCUCCUUCUAGCCACGUUUCACCGUGUACCAUUUCUCCCUGUCUCUCUUCGUCUUCCGCGUCUCUGUCCCGGUGACCUCACACGCCGUUCGGAAUUCCCCCGCUACUCCGGGGUGCCCUUCGUACAUCGCAGAGAUCCCGUGUGUAAGUGGAUACGCGCGCUGCUGUUUUCUCGUGAUCCAAGAGAGUGAAAGUGAGGGAGGAUGGUUUAAAUGGGUGAACACAUCGACUCGAAGGUCGUGCCAGAGCUUACUGGGUCACUGGAACGACCCUGAUGACCCCAAGCUACUUUCCUUUGGGUUAACGCCGAUGUAAAUGGAUUUGGGAUCGAUCGAUGGUCAACGCAGAUUCGCACUUUAACUGUUGCAUGCGGAGAUUUUCACUGUACUUGAAAAAAGUCUGCCGCGAAAAUUCCAUGUCACAUCUUGGUUCUCUCUACCUCUCUGAAGACGUUCUCUACUUGUCAGCAACCAUAUAAUCUACUUGUCACAUGCACUUUUUGAACUGAAACAAAUGAGCUUGGUCUGCUUGAUUGUCAAUGUAUCAAAUAUUAACUCAUAGUAACUGGUACCAAUUUAGUAUGGUAAUAGUUAUGAAAGAAUAAUAAUAUAAUUGUACAGAUGGAUGAGCGAAAGAGUAGUAAAAAAGUCUGUCUCUGUAAAAGAUACUGUUUGAUCUCCAUCUCCGUUUGAUCUCUUCGAGUACCAAGAUCAAAUAAAAUGCUCCAUCUUGAAGUACCACGCGAUAUCGCGUGCAAAUUUGCGCCGGUAGAUUCAUCUUCUCCCGAGGAACUUCUUAAAACGUUUCCUGGCAACGAGUCAUGCAAGGUUGCUCCAAUCCUUAAUUUUAGCAGCAGAAGACCACGACGAAAAUAAUAACGUAUAUAGAUACGGGACGAGAAUAAGAAUCAAGUGCACACGCGAAAAAACGAUCAUGUAACAAUGUCAUCAUUUUUCUCACCGUAGUUCGUGUCUUCAAGUUUCCAAUUAAACGGUGCAAGGUGAUGUAUGGCAGCUGAACAAGUACGAGGAGAAAGUUGAAGAUCGAGUACUUUCACUUUGUGAAUUCGCUCGGUUCUCAGCGUUUAACAAGUUGAAUUUCCUUCGUUGAAAAUAGGUGGAUACUUUGGAAAACUUAAAUACGUCGAUCAAUAAUUUAAGUUGAUUUUGUGGAGAUUCGAUGUGCAAUGAUUUUGAGGUUCAUCGACGUCAUAAGCAUCAUCCAAUCAUCCUCGAAAUCGAUAUUGCAAAUAUUGUCACCGGGGAGCUAUUAAACCAUGAUGCAUGAUUCAAUAGCAUCCAGCAUUUAUGAUGUCCGAAUUCGAUCAGUGCAUUGUCAACUUCCCGUCAAUUAGGGAAUCGUGCUGGUGAGAAUUUACCCUUUGCUCUCGAAUUUGCAAACGGCAACUUUAAAACUUAAUAAUUAAGUUAAAUGAAUUGUUUUGAGAUUAUAUUUGAGGUCUCUGCUAAUAUUUUCCACUAUUUGUUUCACUAUUUUUAUACGUCACAAGAGUCAUAUUAUAGAAACUUAAAAAAUAUUUAUCUCGAAUUAUGAAAUAAAAUGUCACCUCUUGAGCGCGAAGUAAGUUUCGAAUUUUAGCAAAAAUAUCUCAAGUAAUUUUCACCGUGUUUCAUAAUAGAUGAACGUUGUUUUUAUAAAAAAUAAAAAUAGUACGCAGUAAACCGAUCUAAAAGUACUUUUUUGCAUGGAAUACAUGAAGUGGCGAUUAAUGAGCCCAGCGAACCUUAAUGAAGGUAAAAAGUGAACAAAAGCCGGAUACAAAGGAGGAUCAAUCAUUUCCACUUUCCAGCUGGAUUGAGGAGAAGGAAAAAACAUUAACUUUAUCCCCUCUAUAAAAAUCCCUUGUCCCUGUUUUCCCUCGUGCGAGUGAAUGUCAAAUAUUAAAAUAUAUAAAACAAGCUUAUGGGUGAUUUUCGAUGACUUGAAAACACAAAUGUGUCUGGUAUUUGACAGAAUCCAGUAACGUUUUCAAAUAAUUUAUUUAACCUCGUACUUCGUAAUGACAUCGCCUUACUUUACAAUUAAUCCAAGAAUUACACGUUACUAUCGAAAGAAAACGAAUCGAUCGCAGAAAGCGUUCUAUACAAAGUGGAGAGAAUUGGCCGUCGAGGAUUGUGGGUAUAGAAGGGCCAAAAUAUUGGGAAGUAAAAAAGAAAACGAAGAUCACGAACAUCGGGCUAGAUCGACGCCCAGUGUUCGAAGGCAAGGCAAACGUGUGACUUCACCGAUUUUCUUGUGAAAACAAGAGAAUUUUUUAACACGAUUGCUUAUAGUUAUGGCAGUUUUAAACAGUUCACCUCCGGUCGAGAAUCUCCAAGCUCUCGUGGACUUAUCCUAGGGCAGAUCUCUAAAAAUUUGAUCACCUGUUCCGGGAAUACGGAGGAAAAAAGGCCACGAUUAGCGCUAAGGAAAAUUGUUGAAUCGAAUUAAGUCUACGUAGUCUAACUCGUUUGAGUGGUCCGCCAUUUUGUUUUUACCGUUGCACUUCGUUGUUUCGCAAAUUAUUUUCCGGUUAAAUCACGCUCUUUUGUAAAAAAUAGAAAUAACGAUAAGUAUAACUUGAGUGAACAUUUCUUUUAAAAAAAAAUGCACCACUCAAACGAAUUGUGUACGAUAUUUUUGAAAAAUCUGUAAUUUUAUUGGGGGAUUCCCCUGUCGACAAAUUUUGCUUCUCAAAAGAAAAACGCAAAAGAAAAUGGCAUUGAACAGAACAAGUCAUUGGUGGAAUGUGUUGUAAUUGCGAGAAUAAUUUAUCAGGUGAUUAGAAAGAAAAGAGAAUAGAAAAGAAAAGAA